ACUGGCGUUUGGCAGAUGUUAGCCUAAGCAUUAUUGAUCAAACACAAGGAGAGUGGUAGAACAUACGGAUGAUGAAACACUUUUUGGCAAUUUGACAAAUGCACUGCUUCUUUGGGUUGGGUUGUUCUUCCAUACAUGAUAUCUAUACACACCCACACCUGAAGACAGGAUGGCAAUAAGAGACCCAACGUGGGACAACUGGAUGGCGUUGUCUCAAUGCAUGAGAUGAUGAUAAAGUGCAAAGUCAGCCUGGACAGCAGUAUUUUAAAAUAAAAGGCCUAUUUAUUUCCCUUGUUAAAUGGA